rnacentral:rRNA from 1 species
GACGAACGCUGGCGGCGCGCCUAACACAUGCAAGUCGAACGAGCGAGCGAGAGCUUGCUUUCUCGAGCGAGUGGCGAACGGGUGAGUAACGCGUGAGGAACCUGCCUCAAAGAGGGGGACAACAGUUGGAAACGACUGCUAAUACCGCAUAAGCCCACGGUGCCGCAUGGCACAGAGGGAAAAGGAGCAAUCCGCUUUGAGAUGGCCUCGCGUCCGAUUAGCUAGUUGGUGAGGUAAUGGCCCACCAAGGCGACGAUCGGUAGCCGGACUGAGAGGUUGAACGGCCACAUUGGGACUGAGACACGGCCCAGACUCCUACGGGAGGCAGCAGUGGGGAAUAUUGCACAAUGGGGGAAACCCUGAUGCAGCGACGCCGCGUGGAGGAAGAAGGUCUUCGGAUUGUAAACUCCUGUUGUUGGGGAAGAUAAUGACGGUACCCAACAAGGAAGUGACGGCUAACUACGUA